rnacentral:rRNA from 1 species
UUUUCUCGAAUUUUGGAGGGCUAAAAAUUAAUAAAUUUUAAUGUGAAAAAAUUAUUUAUAAUUAGUUUUUUGUAAUUAAACGUUAGUCGUUCUUUAUAAUAUCUAGUUUCCUAAGAAAUUAAUUUAAUUAACUGGAGUGAAAUGAUUUCUUAUUUUUAAGAGAAAUUUUUACGUUUAGAAUAUCUAGGGGGAAAAGCUCUUAGGUAAAUUUUUAUAAUAGACUAGUUUUUAAUAAUUAAUAGGAUUUGAAGUUUCCAUUUUUAAUGUGUUUUAACUAAAUUUUAAAAAUAAUUAAUUUUUUUUUGUUUAAGUGGUUUAUUAGGAUAAAGGCUUUAAUAGAUAAGUUUUGUAAAAAUGAUAAAAUUAGUAGAAUUAAAUGUAGCAUAAUAAUAGUUAAUUUAGAAUUAUUUUAAGGAAUUAGGCAAAUUUCUUUUCGCCUGUUUAAUAAAAACAUGGCUUUUUGAUAAUAAUUUAAGGUCAGGCCUGCCCAAUGAUAAUUUAAAUGGCUGCGGUAUAUUGACCGUGCAAAGGUAGCAUAAUCAUUAGUUUUUUUAUUGGAAGCUGGAAUGAAGGGUUUAACGAGAAAGAAGCUGUCUUAAUUUAAUUAUUUGAAUUUUAUAUUUGAGUGAGAAAGCUUAAAUAGUUUUGAGGGACGAGAAGACCCUAUAGAAUUUAAUAGUUAAGAUAUUUUAAAAUUUUGGUUUAUGUCAAUUAAUAUAAAUAAUAACUAAUUUGUUGGGGUGAUGAAAAAAUUUAAAUAACUUUUUUUUACAUUUUUCAUUAAUAAAUGAUUAUUUGAUCCAUUAACAAUGAUUAUAAGAAAAAAUUACCUUAGGGAUAACAGCGUUAUUAAUCUGGAGAGCUCAAAUCGAUAGAUUAGUUUGCGACCUCGAUGUUGGAUUAAAAUUGGCUUUUGGUGAAGGGACUAAUGAGCUGAGUCUGUUCGA